GCGGUCCCCACGGGAAAGCUGCCUUUCUAACUCACGGACACGAGCCUUUAGUGCUUCAAAUGUUGUCACUGCAGAGUCUUCUGUAAUUUUUUCAAUGUCACUGUUCUUACAGGUCUUCUGCAUGGUUUCCUGUUUACUGCUUUCGCCAUUACUCGUUGAGGGCAUUUCGUCGCUGGCCCAUUUAGAAAACUCCGGCGUUAUUCGAGUACUGGGUGUGCCACCAUUUAAAACAGCACCUCGGAGCGCCUCCCUCUCUUUGGCUUCACCUGGCUCUUCUCCAGUGCAAGGGAUAACGUCUGCCUCUGUGUACUGUGGUUUCCCGUAUUCAAGUGUGUCGUCCCCAUCCACAUCCAGGUCGGCAUCGCUGUCUGGAUUCUCUUUGCCGCUGCACAUGAUGAACCCAGAACCUCGAAAUCCUCCCUCCAGGAGAGUAGUGGCCCGUAUCCUCUUCUGCCCACACCACUCGUAUUCUUCAAAGCGGUUGCCAUUCUCAUUCUCGAUGUCCACAGAGUCAUCCUCAGUCAUGCAUGAGCCUUCUCUCUGCCCUUCAUCUUGCUUCCUCCGUUUCAUUUUUCCAAUCCGAGCGUUCAGCCGGGUCUGCCGGUUCGCUCGCACCCGCAGGAAGGUCUCUUCCCGGCCCCCGCCGCCGGGCCCCCUCCUGCCGCUCUGCAUAGCCGCGGGCGGCCGGCGGGGCGACGAGGCGGCGGCCCCGAGGCGGCUUCCCCCGCGCGGCCCGGGAUGCGGGCGGAUACGGCGCGGCCCGGCAGGCGCCACCGAUCAGCCCCCAGCGGCCGCCGCCAUGUUGGCCCCGG
rnacentral:lncRNA from 1 species